rnacentral:rRNA from 1 species
UCCGUAGGGUGAACCUGCGGAGGGAUCAUUACCAAGAGUUUUACAACUCCCAAACCCACUGUGAACCUUACCUCAGUUGCCUCGGCGGGAACGCCCCGGCCGCCUGCCCCCGCGCCGGCGCCGGACCCAGGCGCCCGCCGCAGGGACCCCAAACUCUCUUGCAUUACGCCCAGCGGGCGGAAUUUCUUCUCUGAGUUGCACAAGCAAAAACAAAUGAAUCAAAACUUUCAACAACGGAUCUCUUGGUUCUGGCAUCGAUGAAGAACGCAGCGAAAUGCGAUAAGUAAUGUGAAUUGCAGAAUUCAGUGAAUCAUCGAAUCUUUGAACGCACAUUGCGCCCGCCAGCAUUCUGGCGGGCAUGCCUGUUCGAGCGUCAUUUCAACCCUCGAGCCCCCCCCGGGGGCCUCGGUGUUGGGGGACGGCACACCAGCCGCCCCCGAAAUGCAGUGGCGACCCCGCCGCAGCCUCCCCUGCGUAGUAGCACACACCUCGCACCGGAGCGCUUAGGCGGUCACGCCGUAAAACGCCCAACUUUCUUAGAGUUGACCUCGGAUCAGGUAGAGAAUACCCGCUGAACUUAAGCAUAUCAAUAAGCGGAGGAAA